rnacentral:rRNA from 1 species
GACGGGUAUCCGGCCUGAGAGGGUGAACGGACACACUGGAACUGAGACACGGUCCAGACUCCUACGGGAGGCAGCAGUAGGGAAUAUUGCUCAAUGGGGGAAACCCUGAAGCAGCAACGCCGCGUGGAGGAUGAAGGUUUUA